GACGAACGCUGGCGGCGUGCUUAACACAUGCAAGUCGAACGGAAAGGCCCUGCUUUUGUGGGGUGCUCGAGUGGCGAACGGGUGAGUAACACGUGAGUAACCUGCCCUUGACUUUGGGAUAACUUCAGGAAACUGGGGCUAAUACCGGAUAGGAGCUCCUGCUGCAUGGUGGGGGUUGGAAAGUUUCGGCGGUUGGGGAUGGACUCGCGGCUUAUCAGCUUGUUGGUGGGGUAGUGGCUUACCAAGGCUUUGACGGGUAGCCGGCCUGAGAGGGUGACCGGCGACAUUGGGACUGAGAUACGGACCAGACGCGUACGGGAGGCAGCAGUGGGGAAUAUUGCACAAUGGGCGGAAGCCUGAGGCAGCGACGCCGCGUGCGGGAUGACGGCCUUCGGGUUGUGAACCGCUUUCGCCUGUGACGAAGCGUGAGUGACGGUAAUGGGUAAAGAAGCACCGGCUAACUACGUG
rnacentral:rRNA from 1 species